CGAACGGGUGAGUAACGCGUGAGGAACCUGCCUCAGAGAGGGGGACAACAGUUGGAAACGACUGCUAAUACCGCAUAAGCCCACGACCCGGCAUCGGGAAGAGGGAAAAGGAGCAAUCCGCUUUGAGAUGGCCUCGCGUCCGAUUAGCUAGUUGGUGAGGUAACGGCCCACCAAGGCGACGAUCGGUAGCCGGACUGAGAGGUUGAACGGCCACAUUGGGACUGAGACACGGCCCAG
rnacentral:rRNA from 1 species